AGAGUUUGAUCCUGGCUCAGGACGAACGCUGGCGGCGCGCCUAACACAUGCAAGUCGAACGAGCGAGAGAGAGCUUGCUUUCUCGAGCGAGUGGCGAACGGGUGAGUAACGCGUGAGGAACCUGCCUCAAAGAGGGGGACAACAGUUGGAAACGACUGCUAAUACCGCAUAAGCCCACGGCUCGGCAUCGAGCAGAGGGAAAAGGAGCAAUCCGCUUUGAGAUGGCCUCGCGUCCGAUUAGCUAGUUGGUGAGGUAACGGCCCACCAAGGCGACGAUCGGUAGCCGGACUGAGAGGUUGAACGGCCACAUUGGGACUGAGACACGGCCCAGACUCCUACGGGAGGCAGCAGUGGGGAAUAUUGCACAAUGGGGGAAACCCUGAUGCAGCGACGCCGCGUGGAGGAAGAAGGUCUUCGGAUUGUAAACUCCUGUUGUUGAGGAAGAUAAUGACGGUACUCAACAAGGAAGUGACGGCUAACUACGUGCCAGCAGCCGCGGUAAAACGUAGGUCACAAGCGUUGUCCGGAAUUACUGGGUGUAAAGGGAGCGCAGGCGGGAGAACAAGUUGGAAGUGAAAUCCAUGGGCUCAACCCAUGAACUGCUUUCAAAACUGUUUUUCUUGAGUAGUGCAGAGGUAGGCGGAAUUCCCGGUGUAGCGGUGGAAUGCGUAGAUAUCGGGAGGAACACCAGUGGCGAAGGCGGCCUACUGGGCACCAACUGACGCUGAGGCUCGAAAGUGUGGGUAGCAAACAGGAUUAGAUACCCUGGUAGUCCACACCGUAAACGAUGAUUACUAGGUGUUGGAGGAUUGACCCCUUCAGUGCCGCAGUUAACACAAUAAGUAAUCCACCUGGGGAGUACGACCGCAAGGUUGAAACUCAAAGGAAUUGACGGGGGCCCGCACAAGCAGUGGAGUAUGUGGUUUAAUUCGACGCAACGCGAAGAACCUUACCAAGUCUUGACAUCCUGCGACGGUGCUGGAAACAGUACUUUCCUUCGGGACGCAGAGACAGGUGGUGCAUGGUUGUCGUCAGCUCGUGUCGUGAGAUGUUGGGUUAAGUCC
rnacentral:rRNA from 1 species